rnacentral:misc_RNA from 1 species
ACAGAAGAAGGGGAUUAUCAGGUAAAACUACGCAACCUGAUACGUUUCCUAGAAAGCGGGAACAAAACUAAAGUCAGCCUCCGAUUUCGUGGACGUGAAAUGGCGCAUCAGGACUUGGGUCUUAAGCUACUCGAACGAGUUGCAGAAGAUCUUAAAGACCUGUCUAGUGUUGAACAACGACCUAAGAAAGAAGGGCGUCAAAUGAUUAUGGUUUUGGCUCCUAACAGUAAAAAAUAACUAUAUAAACUUUCAAUGCGGAGUUGUUAAUUCAAUGCCUAAAUUAAAAAACCAUAGUGGUGCUGCUAA